GUCAGCAGCCAUAUCACCCUGCAACUCACUGCAACUGGCAACCUGCUAAAGCUAAGCAAGUGUGAGCCUGGUCCAGUACCUUGAUGGGAGAUCUCCUGGGAAAAACUAAGGUUGGUGCUGGAA
rnacentral:rRNA from 1 species